GAUGAACGCUGGCGACGUGCCUAAUACAUGCAAGUCGAGCGAAUGGAUUAAGAGCUUGCUCUUAUGAAGUUAGCGGCGGACGGGUGAGUAACACGUGGGUAACCUGCCCAUAAGACUGGGAUAACUCCGGGAAACCGGGGCUAAUACCGGAUAACAUUUUGAACCGCAUGGUUCGAAAUUGAAAGGCGGCUUCGGCUGUCACUUAUGGAUGGACCCGCGUCGCAUUAGCUAGUUGGUGAGGUAACGGCUCACCAAGGCAACGAUGCGUAGCCGACCUGAGAGGGUGAUCGGCCACACUGGGAAUGGAACACGGCCCAGACUCCUACGGGAGGCAGCAGUAGGGAAUCUUCCGCAAUGGACGAAAGUCUGACGGAGCAACGCCGCGUGAGUGAUGAAGGCUUUCGGGUCGUAAAACUCUGUUGUUAGGGAAGAACAAGUGCUAGUUGAAUAAGCUGGCACCUUGACGGUACCUAACCAGAAAGCCACGGCUAACUACGUGCCAGCCGCCGCUGUAA
rnacentral:rRNA from 1 species